rnacentral:tRNA from 1 species
GGGCGGCUAGCUCAGUUGGUUAGAGCGUUGCUUUCACACGGCAGAGGUCACAGGUUCAAAUCCUGCGCCGCCCA